rnacentral:rRNA from 1 species
UACAGAGGGGGCAAGCGUUGUUCGGAAUUACUGGGCGUAAAGGGCGCGUAGGCGGCCUGCUAAGUCGAACGUGAAAUCCCCGGGCUCAACCCGGGAACUGCGUCCGAUACUGGUAGGCUUGAAUUCGGGAGAGGGAUGCGGAAUUCCAGGUGUAGCGGUGAAAUGCGUAGAUAUCUGGAGGAACACCGGUGGCGAAGGCGGCAUCCUGGACCGACAUUGACGCUGAGGCGCGAAAGCCAGAGGAGCAAACGGG